CCCUCGCCUUGUAGGCUAGGGCCACACACUCGCUUAUAGUGCCAAUAAUCUUCUGAUUAUCGGCUGUGAAAUUCAGCAGUGACAGUUAGUAGUUUAUUUUUUGCGAAAAUUGAAACUGCGGUGGAACACAGAAGGCUUGAUUAACUGAGCUGGAAUGU
rnacentral:sRNA from 12 species